rnacentral:rRNA from 1 species
UACGUAGGACGCGAGCGUUAUCCGGAUUUAUUGGGUUUAAAGGGUGCGUAGGCGGAGAUAUAAGUCAGCGGUGAAAGACUGUCGCUUAACGAUAGCAUUGCCGUUGAUACUGUAUUUCUUGAGUACAGUUGAGGUAGGCGGAAUGUGUAGUGUAGCGGUGAAAUGCUUAGAUAUUACACAGAACACCGAUUGCGGAGGCAGCUUACUAAGCUGUAACUGACGCUGAUGCACGAAAGCGUGGGGAU